CAGCCGUAAACUAUGCGCGUUAGGUGUAUCGGUGACCACGAGUUACCGAGGUGCCGAAGGGAAACCGUGAAACGUGCCGCCUGGGAAGUACGGUCGCAAGGCUGAAACUUAAAGGAAUUGGCCGGGGGAGCACCACAACAGGUGGAGCCUGCGGUUUAAUUGGACUCAACGCCGGGAAGCUCACCGGAUAAGACAGCUGAAUGAUUGUCAAUCUGAAGGUUUUACAUGACUAGCUGAGAGGUGGUGCAUGGCGUCAGUGACU
rnacentral:rRNA from 1 species